GCCGGCGCAGGUCUUUGCUUGGGACGAUUCCCAUCAGCAAAGAAAUCCAUCUCAGUAAUCACUCUUUUUCCGUUGGAAAUGGAACGAUAUUCAUCGCCACAGUAGUGGUUUUGAGGGCGAUCACUAGAUGGGUCCAUGAUUAUACUAUCGUGCUUCCACGUAGUGUUUAAUAUUCCAGGCGGCUAGGAAAUGAUCAAGGAUCUUGUAAAAUCACUGCCAAAGGA
rnacentral:misc_RNA from 1 species